UUGCCUCCCUAGCGGGAGCUGCAGGGGUGAAAAGUCGACUGGCAAGAACACACAGAGAGAAAUGGGCAGAUGUACACGGCAAGGGGGGGGUGGGGUGGGGAAGGCGCACGAGAGAACUAGACGUGCAACUUGCACGGCACGGGGUAAGCACCGCGCAGGGAGGUGGGGGGGUCACAAAAGUUUGCAGACUACUGCACUGCAGCCGGCUGCAUGGGGUCAAAGGGGGUCGACUCCCCCUCGCCAGGAGGGGUCUCUCCAAGGAUAUGCGCCAACGGGACCAAGGGGUUUGGACAUGGCUCAGAACUGGUGUGAUAGUUCUCCUCUAGUUGUUCAGGCAAUCUUCUCCGGCUGACCACCCUACCUCUGUUUGCUGAAUUUCCAAAGGCAAAGGAAACCAAGCUGUUGCUCAACUGCAAAGAGCAAGAGAUACCUACUCAGCUGCCAACACCUAGAGCAAACCCAGUCCAGGUGGAUAAUGACCAAAAAAUCUUUAUCAUUUCGUGACCUGUGUCAAGUAUGUUGAAAGCUGGCCAAGGUUUCCUUAUUUCCACUUAUCUUGGAUGAAUUUUAGAAUAGUUUGGGCAAUAUGUCAUUGCUGAGAGGAGUGCAUCGUUUUAAAAAGCAAUGUUUCAGAAAUUUUGCAUGUAAAAGAAAUUCCUUGAGUUUUCAAUUGUAUUCUUCCUCCGAAACCCUGGAGAGAAAUGGAAAUACAUUCCUAGGAGCCCCUGAGUGAAGUUUCUGUAAUCUGAAUAAUUGGAGUUCCUAAAACCCUGCCAUCUAAUGAACAGAUGGGAUCAUGUCAUGAAUUCUUUGUGAAAAAGUUUCCAGAUAACUUUUUCUUAAUAACAAACCACCCUAGAACUUCUUGGCUUAAAAUAAUAAUAAUCUUUUAUUAGCCUGAAUCUGGAAUUUGGACAAGGCUCAAAGAAGAAGGCUUCAUUCUGGCCCGUUCAGUGUCAGCUUUGGGCCAUUAAACUCAGAAUAGGAGGAUUUGUUUCCCCAAUGGCUCAUUCACAUGCCUGGGAGACUGUGCUGCCUGUUGGCAUUCAACAGGAGCCGAGGACCAGGGACCGCAGUUUCUUACCAGGAGAGCCUCUCCAUGUCUAUCUCUCCACAGUUUCUCAUAGAUUUCCUCACUUCAUGGCAGUUCCACUCACAAAGAGAGCCCCAGUAGGAAUCAGCCCUUACCUGGAUAAUGAAAAUCUGAACAGUUAAGCGUUGUCCAUUAUACAAACAAUCUAGUCUUCAUACGAUAUUAUGUAUUUUAAUCCUGAACUCACAGGGCAAAAUAAAUUAGUGAACUAGCUCAUCAUUUGAAUAAUUUAGGUAAGUGGAUCAUUUUUUUUCUUCCAUUUAUUGAGAUCAUUUCAUUAAGAGUUGAAGGACUAGCUGGGAUGUAAAUUUGUGCAGCCACUAU